rnacentral:rRNA from 1 species
CUGAACCAGCCAAGUAGCGUGAAGGAUGACUGCCCUAUGGGUUGUAAACUUCUUUUAUAUGGGAAUAAAGUUUUCCACGUGUGGAAUUUUGUAUGUACCAUAUGAAUAAGGAUCGGCUAACUCCGUGCCAGCAGCCGCGGUAAUACGGAGGAUCCGAGCGUUAUCCGGAUUUAUUGGGUUUAAAGGGAGCGUAGGUGGACAGUUAAGUCAGUUGUGAAAGUUUGCGGCUCAACCGUAAAAUUGCAGUUGAUACUGGCUGUCUUGAGUACAGUAGAGGUGGGCGGAAUUCGUGGUGUAGCGGUGAAAUGCUUAGAUAUCACGAAGAACUCCGAUUGCGAAGGCAGCUCACUGGACUGCAACUGACACUGAUGCUCGAAAGUGUGGGUAUCAAACAGGAUUAGAUACCCUGGUAGUCCACACAGUAAACGAUGAAUACUCGCUGUUUGCGAUAUACAGUAAGCGGCCAAGCGAAAGCAUUAAGUAUUCCACCUGGGGAGUACGCCGGCAACGGUGAAACUCAAAGGAAUUGACGGGGGCCCGCACAAGCGGAGGAACAUGUGGUUUAAUUCGAUGAUACGCGAGGAACCUUACCCGGGCUUAAAUUGCAUUUGAAUAAUCUGGAAACAGGUUAGCCGCAAGGCAAAUGUGAAGGUGCUGCAUGGUUGUCGUCAGCUCGUGCCGUGAGGUGUCGGCUUAAGUGCCAUAACGAGCGCAACCCUUAUCUUUAGUUACUAACAGGUCAUGCUGAGGACUCUAGAGAGACUGCCGUCGUAAGAUGUGAGGAAGGUGGGGAUGACGUCAAAUCAGCACGGCCCUUACGUCCGGGGCUACACACGUGUUACAAUGGGGGGUACAGAAGGCAGCUACCUGGUGACAGGAUGCUAAUCCCAAAAGCCUCUCUCAGUUCGGAUCGAAGUCUGCAACCCGACUUCGUGAAGCUGGAUUCGCUAGUAAUCGCGCAUCAGCCAUGGCGCGGUGAAUACGUUCCCGGGCCUUGUACACACCGCCCGUCAAGCCAUGAAAGCCGGGGGUACCUGAAGUACGUAACCGCAAGGAGCGUCCUAGGGUAAAACUGGUAAUUGGGGCUAAGUCGUAACAAGGUAGCCGUACCGGAAGGUGCGGCUGGAACACCUCCUUUCU